GGAGGUCUUUUUGUUUAGACCCACGAGAGAAACACCGUGCCAUCUGCAACCGGGUUACCACCAUUUGCAGGCUGGCAAGGAGCCUCUGCAUAGGAAGCCUUGACGCUUUGGUUGUCGUAUCCAAAUACACAAGAAUGUACAGACCUGGAGUAGCGGGGGCGCCGUAUACCUCUGUAUCUCCACAGCGAGCAAGUUAUAACAGAACAGAACAUAUGUUAAAAAGAGACAAUGCACAAAGAAGUAGGUGUGAUUAUGAAUUCAGAAUAUGCAGUGUAUAUCACCUGGAUUCCGAGAUGAUCUUGAACUUUAAACGAAACCCCUUAUUGCACCAUUGCAAGACGUAUUCCUUCGGUGAUUUGGUAUCUGCUGAGAGUCGUUCUCGUGAGAGCCUAUUCCACUCUAUUUGUAAUAGUAAACUGCGCUUCGUUUGACGUCUGCUGGCCGAUAGGAGAACAUAGACGACCUAUCGGUACACUUUCCUCAAUUCCUCAUACUAAGAGAAUUAAUUUGCAAUGCAAUCAGGCUCCGAAUGCCCCUGCCAUUGAAUAGCGCAGCUUCUAUUGUGUAGCUGUAUGCAUGGCACAUAUCAGGUGUAGGCACGUGCAUGAAAACUCUUGUGCAGUUGCGCAAGUCAAACCUUCCACGUAAAUGUCGAAAACGUGCUCGCGGUGCUGCUAUACUAUUUCCGAGUUCGUUUCCUUUUUUAAUGUCGUGGCCGUAAUGGUCGUUUCGUUGCUCUGCAGAAACGUUAAAAACACUUUUUAUUCCUACACUUCUCUGAUGUUGCUAUGGUACCCAAAAAGAAAAAAAAGCGCAAGAGAAAGGUGUCCUGUUUCAAACUUUCAGCCUAAUGACGUAGAAACGGGAG
rnacentral:lncRNA from 1 species